rnacentral:rRNA from 1 species
CGGAAAAUUGGGCGGGCGUGCCUAAUACAUGCAAGUCGAGCGGACAGAUGGGAGCUUGCUCCCUGAUGUUAGUGGCGGACGGGUGAGUAACACGUGGGUAACCUGCCUGUAAGACUGGGAUAACUCCGGGAAACCGGGGCUAAUACCGGAUGGUUGUUUGAACCGCAUGGUUCAGACAUAAAAGGUGGCUUCGGCUACCACUUACAGAUGGACCCGCGGCGCAUUAGCUAGUUGGUGAGGUAACGGCUCACCAAGGCGACGAUGCGUAGCCGACCUGAGAGGGUGAUCGGCCACACUGGGACUGAGACACGGCCCAGACUCCUACGGGAGGCAGCAGUAGGGAAUCUUCCGCAAUGGACGAAAGUCUGACGGAGCAACGCCGCGUGAGUGAUGAAGGUUUUCGGAUCGUAAAGCUCUGUUGUUAGGGAAGAACAAGUGCCGUUCAAAUAGGGCGGCACCUUGACGGUACCUAACCAGAAAGCCACGGCUAACUACGUGCCAGCAGCCGCGGUAAUACGUAGGUGGCAAGCGUUGUCCGGAAUUAUUGGGCGUAAAGGGCUCGCAGGCGGUUUCUUAAGUCUGAUGUGAAAGCCCCCGGCUCAACCGGGGAGGGUCAUUGGAAACUGGGGAACUUGAGUGCAGAAGAGGAGAGUGGAAUUCCACGUGUAGCGGUGAAAUGCGUAGAGAUGUGGAGGAACACCAGUGGCGAAGGCGACUCUCUGGUCUGUAACUGACGCUGAGGAGCGAAAGCGUGGGGAGCGAACAGGAUUAGAUACCCUGGUAGUCCACGCCGUAAACGAUGAGUGCUAAGUGUUAGGGGGGUUUCCGCCCCUUUAGUGCUGCAGCUAACGCAUU